GCUAGCUCCAGUGUGACUGAUUUGGUUCUGAGAGUGUCCUAGGCUGUCAUCAAGAGGUCCUGCUAGACCUUAGGAAGUGCUGAGUGGAGACAGAAGAUAAUUAAUUUAAACUCCUUAGUCCAUAGCAUCUCUUCCUGUUCCCCUGGCGCAGUAUCUGAAUGACCUGAACAGUGCACUUUCUUCCGUAGAAAACAGAAGCACAGAUCACCCUAUUUCUGUUCCAAAGGUGGAAGUCAACAGUUCAAAAUUCUUCAGCUGUAAAAUCUUUCUUCACCAUGACCUGGGAAAGCUCCGUAACACCAGCGAUGCACUUACUGCACAGGUUCUUCACCAAAGCAUUUGGAUUCAGACGGCCCUUUACUUCUGACUGAGACUGAAAUGGCUGAUGCCUCUACAAAGGGACUCCGAACCAAAAGAAAUAUCCUCUCUGGACAAAGAAGUGUUCUUUUAUGUUUAGAGGAAUCUUUUAAUACAAGCACCUGAAAUGAUACUUUUCCUCCAGCAAACCCCUGUAAAGGUGGGGAAAGGAUCUUCUGAAACUUAUCGUCUUCCUUCACACCUGAGCUGGUAAGCUCUUUAGUGAGAGAGAGGAGUGUUUCUGGAAGCUCAUAGAGAAAGCCGAGUGUCUGCAGAAAUAACCCUGUACUUUGAAGCAUUUGAAAAUGCAUAAAUAUGUGUGCUCUGACAACAGCUAGAGAGCUGUAAAACUCAAUGAAUAAUUUGUAUCAAAUUAAUUGUUUAGCUCAUAAUUUUGUUAUGUCUUCAUCCUUGUUAAUACCAAACUGAGUUUUGAAGGUUC